GUGCAGCAGGCGAGAAUACUUUACAAUGUGCGAAAGCACGAUAAGGGAACUCUGAGUGCCUCCUAAGGAGGCUGUUCAGGUGUCUAAAAAGCACCUGGAGUAAGGGCUGGGUAAGACCGGUGCCAGCCGCCGCGGUAACACCGGCAGCCCAGGUGGUAGCCACUUUUAUUGGGUCUAAAGCGUCCGUAGCCGGUUGAGUAAGUUCCUUGGGAAAUUUGGCUGCUCAACAGUCAAGCUUCCAGGGAAUACUGCUCGACUUGGGACUGGGAGAGGUCAGAGGUACUCCAGGGGUAGGGUGAAAUCCAUUAAUCCCUGGGGGACCACCGGUAGCGAAGGCGUCUGACCAGACCAGGUCCGACGGUGAGGGACGAAGGCUAGGGUCGCGAACCGGAUUAGAUACCCCUGUAGUC
rnacentral:rRNA from 1 species